rnacentral:snRNA from 1 species
CAGCGCUGAGCCGUUCACGAGUCUCAUAUCUCUUUCGCCUUUUACUAAAGAGAUCAGCGAGCACGGCUCACAAAGGCGCAUAACUCGAAUAUUUGAAAGGCACUUGCCU